rnacentral:lncRNA from 1 species
GAACUUUGACCUUUGCAACGGCACAUUCAGUGUCUCCUCUUUGAAAGGAGGGAUCGAGCAGCGUUCACUCACUCUGCACUCCCAUCGAAACCACAGGCUCCAGCUCUCUGUGCUAUCUGAGAGAAUAUAACCAUGUGGAAAGUCUAGUCUUCAUGUGGAACAUCUGUUACGAAGAAAUUCUACUUGGAAAGCUUGUCUGCUCUAUUAACCCAUCCCUGUUGCUCACUUGGAAGAAGAGGGCCUUCACUUUCCACUGUAAGAAGAAGGUCUUCUGUUGCUCUGAACGCUUCUGUUUAGAGACCUUUCUUCACUGUCCCCAAGGUUCUCAGAUUCCUCUUUCGCAUUAACUAGCAUAUGCUACAGUGAUCGAAGGACUGAAGUGUGAUGAACAAUCAACAGUACAGGUUCUGACAGUGAACCGUAGAGCAGCACAUGCUAGAGCUCCGGCCUACUCUUCAGAUGCUCUGGUUUUAUGUUCAUAGUGCUCAACAGUUAUGGAAACCUAAAUUAGAUUUUAUGUGCUUGUGUUCAUGGCUACAUUCAUAACGGAGAUAGUGGAAAUAACCCAAGUGUUCAUAGAAAUUGAGAAGCAGAACACGGUGCAUACAGUUUCAUGUUGGUCAGCUUUACCAAAGAGGGGCAAUCUGAUGCAGGCUGCAACAUCGACCAACCUGAAAGACAUGGCUGCAUGGAAUAAGUCCGAUGAGAAGUGUUAAACAUCACCCGCAUUGCUUGCAUUCAUGCAUAUGUCGAAGAUGUCACGAAUAUGAAAAACAUCUAGGACAG